rnacentral:misc_RNA from 1 species
ACAUUUAUUUUAGGAGUGGGGAAGAACCACAAGGAUGCAGCCAGUGUCCGGGCCUCCCACCCUAUCCCCCCGUCCUGUGGCAUCUACUAUUUUGAAGUCAGAAUCAUCAGCAAGGGAAGAGACGGCUAUAUGGGCAUUGGUCUGUCAGCACAGGGAGUUAACAUGAAUCGAUUACCAGGUUGGGACAAACAAUCCUAUGGUUACCAUGGUGAUGAUGGCCAUUCUUUCUGUUCCUCGGGAACUGGUCAGCCAUACGGACCAACAUUUACAACUGGUGAUGUGAUUGGCUGCUGUGUGAACCUCAUAGACAACUCCUGUUUUUACACAAAAAAUGGAAUUAAUUUAGGCCUCGCAUUUACAGACCUGCCGUCAAAUUUGUACCCCACAGUAGGACUUCAGACCCCAGGGGAAGUGGUGGAGGCCAACUUUGGUCAGACUCCGUUUGUCUUUGACAUAGAGGAUUACAUGAAGGAGUGGCACAUGAAGACCAAACUGACGAUAGAGAGGUUCCCUGUCAGUGACAAGAAGGGGGAGUGGCAGACUGCACUACAACAGAUUGUAUCUACGUAUCUGGUGCACCACGGUUAUUGUGGCACAGCAGAGGCAUUCUCCCGGUCUACAGGACAGUCUAUAGAGGAGGAUAUGUCCUCCAUCAAACACAGACAAAGAAUACAGAAGCUAGUAUUAGCAGGACGCAUGGGUGAAGCAAUAGAGACCACACAACAGCUUUAUCCAGGAUUACUAGAGAGAAACCUUAAUCUGUUGUUUAUGCUCAAAUGUAGACAGUUCAUAGAGAUGGUGAAUGGGACUGACACAGAGGUCCGAGGUCCAGCUAUUCGCAGCCCAAAGUCACGGCACGGGAGCGGAUCUAACCGUUCCAGUCCCAACAUGAGCCCUGUCCACCACACAAAUUCAAAUUCACAGAAAAACACUCCAAUAGGAUCUCGUGGCAAUAGUCCUAACCGACCUAUAGGUGUUAAAGGUCAUAGUUCAGGUUCAUCUUCACAAACAAGUCAAAACUUACAGGUGUCACAAACAAACAACCAGAGUGUCGGUGAUUUAAAGACUAUAUCAGAGGAGCAUAUGAAUCACGCCAAUAUAGCAAUGAACGGUUCCGGGUGUCACAUGAUUCAGGACGAUGAUGUAGAAAUGAUGGACGGACUUGUUACAGAGACUAAAACAUUCACAAAUGGAAACUCAGAAGGGACGUACAUGAACGGGAAUAAUCACACAUGUAAAUCAGAAGAGAUGGAUGUGGACACCCCCUCAGGUAAACGGCAGCUAUGUGGAGGAUCUCAGGCAGCCCAGUAGGGUACCAGUUAGACCCAGUGCAACGAGAACCAGUCUGUGCUGCCUUAAACAGUGCUAUAUUAGAAUCCCAGGGUCUCCCUAAGCAGCCUCCACUAGAACUGGUGAUAGCUCAGUCUACCGAGUGUAUGAAGCUAAUGUCCAAGGCCAAGAUCGGCUCCUGUGCAUUUGCCAACCUCAAUGACUACCUCCAUUGACAACGGAGAGAAAGUAUCGGUGCCUGACAAGUCCUAGAGAACCCAGAAGUUGUGUACUCAAAAAACAUCCUGUGUGUCAGAUGAAAACGUACAUGAUAUGCAAUUCUUCUCAAGUUCAUCAUAGCUGGUUCAUUUUAUGCAUUUGUAUAGAUGUAAUAAGACAACAUCAUAUUUGUUACAAAGUGAAGAUGUUUUCAUGAACCAAUCCAGUGGAUUUUCAUUCAGAUUUUAUUGUGUACAUGAUCUUGUAAUGAACAGGAUUUUAUGAGUCAUAGUGUUGUGUGUGUUACAAGAUUGUUUUCAUCUUUGCUCAGAACAUGUAGUAGCUCUUGAAUUGCAUAGCCACUUAGAAAUUAAAACAGCUAGAAUUGACAUUUUCACAACCCUAUUUGACUUGUAUUGUGUGUUCUGUCUCUAGAACAAAAGACCAAGAUAACUCCUUUGGGUGUAUAUUAAGUUGAAAGCACAACUUUUGUUGUGUUUUCUGCUAUAAGAAAUGAAUUAUCAGUCAAGCUGUAAUAUGAUAAGAUUGUCCUCCUUUGUUGCAAUGCUACGUCUCUUUGAUUUUAGUCAGGUGAUUUGAUCUCAUCCACAUGCGUUCUGCGGAAUGGAUCUUUGAAUUGAUAUUAGCAUCAAAACAAUAAGUGUUGGUUGCCACUUUUGAGACUGGGAUAUGAUAUGGAGAGUAAAUUACAUAAUGACAGGAUGUCAUUUUGAUAUGUACAUAGUAUGUUUAUCCACAUGUAAAUGUGCACAAAGUGUACAUGGAGACCUCAUAGAUUGGCUUUCAUUAAAUGGUGAAUGGUUUUAUAAUGUAUUGCAUAAUUUACUGUUGUGAUCCAAGGAGGUGAUUGAUUGAUUGAUCGAUUGAUCUAUCAAUAUAGGAAACUUAAAGUUAUUGAUAGAUAUGGAUAUUUAUUGUUAUCAAGACAUCCGAGGUAUGACAUUUCGAAGGAGUAUUGCUAUUCAGUCUAUUUAAAGAUACAUUUAUUUAUUAAGAUGAGAGGAUUACUUCAUAUGCAAGUUUAAUACUAAGAGCAAAUGUUUUUUAUUAUACCAAACAGCAGUGAAACUAUAUCUAAUGUGUGUGAUAUUUCAAAGACAUUAAAGAUUGUACAUUU